UACGGGGGGAGCAAGCGUUGUUCGGAUUUGCUGGGCGUAAAGGGCGCGUAGGCGGUCAGCACAAGUCAGUUGUGAAAUCUCCGGGCUUAACUCAGAAAGGUCAACUGAUACUGUGCGACUAGAGUGCAGAAGGGGCAACUGGAAUUCUCGGUGUAGCGGUGAAAUGCGUAGAUAUCGAGAGGAACACCUGCGGCGAAGGCGGGUUGCUGGGCUGACACUGACGCUGAGGCGCGAAAGCCAGGGGAGCGAACGGG
rnacentral:rRNA from 1 species